GACGAACGCUGGCGGUGUGCUUAACACAUGCAAGUCGAACGGAAAGGCACUGCUUUCGUGGGGUGCUCGAGUGGCGAACGGGUGAGUAACAGGAGAGUAACCUGCCCUUGAUUUUGGGAUAACUUCAGGUAACUGGGGUUAAUAUCGUACCGCAGACCCUCUUGCAUGGAGGGGGUUGGAACGUCUCGGCGGGUGUGGUUGGAUGGGCGGCUGACGAGCUUGCUGGUGGGGUAGUGGCUUACCAAGGAUUUGACGGAUCGCCGGCCUGAGAGGGUGACCGGCGACAAUGGGACUGAGAUACGGCCCAGACGCCUACAGGGGGCAGCAGUGGGGAGUAUUACACAAUGGGCGCAAGCCUGAUACAGCAACGCCGCGUGCGUGAUGACGGCCUUCGGGUUGUAAACCGCUGUCGCCUGUGACGAAGCGUGAGUGACGGUAAUGAGUAAAGAAGCACCGGCUAACUACGUG
rnacentral:rRNA from 1 species